rnacentral:rRNA from 1 species
AGGAAUGUAUAGCAAUAGCUAGUUGCAUCAUAUUUACUAUGAUGCAAGAUUGACUGUGUUGAAUAAAAUUCUAGGUAUGAUUAUGAUAAUGACAUUGUCUGCCUAUAUGUCUUGACCAAAUUACGUGCCAGCAGUCGCGGUAAUACGUAGAAGAUUAGUGUUAUUCAUGUUUAAUCGGUUUAAAGGGUACCUAGACGGCAGAUCAAGCUUUCCGAGCAGAAAAAAGUAAAAAAGGACUAAUUUGCUAGAGUUACUUGCGGUGGGGUUUUAAAGUACUGCUGGUGUAGAGAUGAAAUCCUAUUAUACCUAAGUUCGAAAGAAUAAUAAUGGCACAGGUAUAGGCGAAGGCAUCCCCUUAUGUGAUAACUGACGUUGAAGGACGA